rnacentral:rRNA from 1 species
GACGAACGCUGGCGGCGUGCCUAAUACAUGCAAGUCGAACGCAGUGGGGACGGGUAAGUAACCCGUGGGUAACCUCCCAUCAGAGGGGAUAACACUUGGAAACAGGUGCUAAACCGAUACUGAUGGAUGGACGCGCGGUGCAUUAGCUAGUUGGUGAGGUAACGGCUUACAAAGGCCACGAUGCAUAGCGGGCCUGAGAGGGUGAUAGGCCACACUGGGACUGAGACACGGACCAGACUCCUACGGGAGGCAGCAGUAGGGAAUAUUCGGCAAUGGACGAAAGUCUGAUCGAGCAACGCCGCGUGAGUGAAGAAGGUUUUCGGAUCGUAAAACUCUGUUGUUAGAGAAGCGGUAUCUAACCAGAAAGCCACGGCUAACUACGUGCCAGCAGCCGCGGUAAUUC